GCAUUCAUCAGAGUGGUUACUUCAGUUCCCAUUGUUUUUGCUCUGAAUUCAUGGAUGUAAAGCAGAGAGAAAAAUAAUGGAAAGAUAAAUCCCUGGAAAAUGAUCAAUUAAAGAUGGCAGAUCUUAUCCUUGAGAGUUGGAACUGUUAAUGAGACAUGGGAGUGAUUUUACUCCCCUUUACCAAUAAAGGAUUCAUCUCAGUGAGGAGGAUGCAAAAAUUUAUACCACCUGCCUUGGAAGGUGGUUCUUCUUACUUUUAGUUCCAGAAUGGGAGCACCUGACAUAGAUUUUCCCCAGAUUACAGCUGACAGAGCUGGGGUCAACAUCUGAUGCUGAUUGGGAUGUUAAAAAUGGUUGAAGUGAAACCCCACACUUUUUCUUGUGGUGCAAAGAGAAGCUUUGUUACUUCAGAGCAGCAGAGCAGCACAUGUUCUGUAGGAGCUGGGAGGAUUAGAAGAGGUAUGUGCUCAUGGUGUACUGUUUGUCCCUGCCAGACGAUUCCCCAAGUCUUCUUCUGGGAAAGUGCAGCUAUGUUUCAACUGCUUUGCAGACAGAUUGGACACUUGCAAUCUAGGUCAUUGAGAAAAGCAAUUUAUGAAACAGCAGAAUGCUUUUCUAGAGAAUGAGAUGUCUGACUUUUGUUCCAAGCUCUGCCAGAGUGACCUUGCACUGCCACUUUCUCUGUAUUUCAGCAUCCACAACUAUAAAAUGUGAGUAAUGAGGGUAUAAAUGUAUCAUUUCUUUCUUGAGUAAUGAUGUUGCGUGGUCGUGCUUUGUCCUUU